UGCAAGUAAUGAUUGGGUCAGCCGUUGG
rnacentral:sRNA from 1 species